GUACCAGUUGAAGGUCUGGCCUAUAUGCAAGUGGGUGCUGCACAAGUUAUUGUCGUGCUGGAGUGGUUUGUGAGGGCUCAUGGAGGAGGUCUGUGCUCUUCCAGCUCUUCAGCAUGCAAGCAAAAGUGUGGAGGAAAGGCACAGGAAACCUAUAUUAACCACAGCUGACCCUAACAACAGUAGUAGUGGCUCAGAAGAACAAUCAGGCAGCAGGGGAAAGAGUGGUUCCCCAAGAAGACGACUUGGUUGUGGAAAACCAGCCUUUACUCCAAGGCAUGCAGUGGUCUUCAGUGGAGAUGCACCUUGCUGGAGUCUUUCUAGACAAGCUCAGUAUCAGAACUCUUGCAACUGGACCUGACUCUCAUCUUGUGUCAGCUGAUGCAAAACCAGGAAUGUCUCUACAAAAG